UGGGGAAUAUUGCACAAUGGGCGAAAGCCUGAUGCAGCAACGCCGCGUGAGUGAUGAAGGCCUUCGGGUUGUAAAGCUCUGUCUUUUGGGACGAUAAUGACGGUACCAAAGGAGGAAGCCACGGCUAACUACGUGCCAGCAGCCGCGGUAAUACGUAGGUGGCAAGCGUUGUCCGGAUUUACUGGGCGUAAAGGAUGCGUAGGCGGAUUUUUAAGUGAGAUGUGAAAACCCUAAGCUUAACUUGGGGACUGCAUUUCAUACUGGAAAUCUAGAGUGCGGGAGAGGAGAAUGGAAUUCCUAGUGUAGCGGUGAAAUGCGUAGAGAUUAGGAAGAACACCAGUGGCGAAGGCGAUUCUCUGGACCGUAACUGACGCUGAGGCAUGAAAGCGUGGGUAGCAAACAGGAUUAGAUACCCUGGUAGUCCACGCCGUAAACGAUGAGUACUAGGUGUAGGAGGUAUCGACCCCUUCUGUGCCGCAGUUAACACAAUAAGUACUCCGCCUGGGAAGUACGAUCGCAAGAUUAAAACUCAAAUGAAUUGACGGGGUCAUAGCUGUUUUCC
rnacentral:rRNA from 1 species